GAUGAAGAACGUAGCGAAAUGCGAUAAGUAGUGUGAAUUGCAGAAUUCAGUGAAUCAUCGAAUCUUUGAACGCACAUUGCGCCCUUUGGUAUUCCUUAGGGCAUGCCUGUUCGAGCGUCAUCUAAACCUUCAAGCCCUGCUUGGUGUUGGGUGCCUGUCCCGCCUCCGCGCGUGGACUCACCUCAAAUCCAUUGGCGGCCCCCGCGUCGGCCACGAGCGCAGCAGAAACGCGAACUCGUGAGCCCGUCCGGGCGGCUCCCAGAAGCUAACCCCCAAUUUUUGACCUCGGAUCAGGUAGGGAUACCCGCUGAACUUAAGCAUAUCAUAAGCGGAGGA
rnacentral:misc_RNA from 1 species